GGCUCAGAUUGAACGCUGGCGGCAUGCUUUACACAUGCAAGUCGAACGGUAACAGGUCUUCAGAUGCUGACGAGUGGCGAACGGGUGAGUAAUGUAUCGGAACGUGCCCAGUAGUGGGGGAUAACUACUCGAAAGAGUGGCUAAUACCGCAUGAGACCUGAGGGUGAAAGCGGGGGAUCGCAAGACCUCGCGCUAUUGGAGCGGCCGAUAUCAGAUUAGGUAGUUGGUGGGGUAAAAGCCUACCAAGCCGACGAUCUGUAGCUGGUCUGAGAGGACGACCAGCCACACUGGGACUGAGACACGGCCCAGACUCCUACGGGAGGCAGCAGUGGGGAAUUUUGGACAAUGGGCGCAAGCCUGAUCCAGCCAUGCCGCGUGCGGGAAGAAGGCCUUCGGGUUGUAAACCGCUUUUGUCAGGGAAGAAAUCUUCUGGGCUAAUACCUCGGGAGGAUGACGGUACCUGAAGAAUAAGCACCGGCUAACUACGUG
rnacentral:rRNA from 1 species